rnacentral:rRNA from 1 species
AGUGAACGCUGGCGGCGUGCUUAACACAUGCAAGUCGAACGAGAACGGAUUAUAGCUUGCUAUAAUUGUCAGCAAAGUGGCGCACGGGUGAGUAAUGUAUAGGUAAUAUGCCUCUUACUAAGGGAUAACAAAUGGAAACGUUUGCUAAUACCUUGUACUCCUUAUUAACACAGUUAAUAAGGGAAAGAUUUAUUGGUAAGAGAUUAGCCUGUAUUGUAUCAGUUAGUUGGUGGGGUAAUGGCUUACCAAGACUAUGACACAUAACUGGUUUGAGAGGAUGAUCAGUCACACUGGAACUGAGACACGGUCCAGACUCCUACGGGAGGCAGCAGUGGGGAAUAUUGCACAAUGGACGAAAGUCUGAUGCAGCAACGCCGCGUGGAGGAUGACACAUUUCGGUGCGUAAACUCCUUUUAUAUGAGAAGAUAAUGACGGUAUUAUAUGAAUAAGCACCGGCUAACUCCGUGCCAGCCGCCGCGGUAA